rnacentral:rRNA from 1 species
AGAAAGAAUAAAAGUCUGUACCUUUUGUAUAAUAGUUAAACAAGAUAAAAAGAACAGGAUUUUAUAUCCCGAAGUUAGGUGAGCUAAUGUAUUCUUCUUGUGAGAGAAAAGGUUUUCACUGUUGCAAUAGUGAGACUUGAGGGUACAUUAGAUGUGAAAUGCUAAUCGCACUUAAAGAUAGCUGGUUUUCCUAGAAAUCGGUGUAAGCUGGGAUUUUACAUUUACUGGGCUACUAAUAUUUUAAAGAAUAAAAGAUGCAGGUUGGUAAUAGUAUAAUCGUAAGACAGAAAGGGAUAAGCUUUUCUGUCAAGAAAGUAAUAACUUUAAUCAUAAACUAAGAACAGUUUAGAGUAAAAUGUGUUUGAAUGUUGGAAAGAAGUAGGAUUAAUAGCAUCUAUCUUUGUAAAGAGCGUUAAAGCUUUUUUUAUUUAGGAUAACACAAAUAAUUUUGGUAAAGACUAUUUUAUGUUGUGAGAGUUUAUAGGAGAGUUCCAAGUUUUUGGAAAUUAUAAUGUUUGAAUUAGUAAAGGUUAAAUAAUUAUUUCUUGUGUAUUAAUCAAUCCUAACGUUGAAUGGAAAAAUAGCCUAAGACGGGAAGAGGAGUUUUUGUAUUGUCUACUAACUCAAGUAAUAAUUUAUUACAAAAAUAAGGAAAAGGAACUCGGCAAAUAACGAUUUCGCCUGUUUACCAAAAACAUCGCUCUUUGCAAAGUAUUCUGAAAUAUAAAGAGUCCUGCCUGCCCAGUGACUUAGUUAAACGGCCGCGGUAUUUUGACCGUGCAAAGGUAGCAUAAUCAUUUGCCUCUUAAAUGGAGGCUGGUAUGAAUGGCAAGACGGGAAUCAAGCUGUCUCUUUCUUAUACCUGGAAGUUAAUAUUUUUGUGAAGAAGCAAAAAUAAGAUCGCAGGACGAGAAGACCCUAUCGAGCUUCAGUAGAGACAGGUGUGCAAGUAUUAAUGGUGUUUCAGCAGCUAAUAGAUUAUUUAGAAAUAGUCUUGAGUUUACUUGCUAAAACAAUUGUAUUGUUCAUCCUAUACUUAGGUUGGGGCAACCACGGAGAAUAAGAACCCUCCGUUAAGUUACUGGUAAAGUUACUUCUUUCUGGUGCAGGAAUUUUGCAAUAAAAUGAUCCACUUUAAGGAGUGAACAAAGGAAAAAGUUACCGUAGGGAUAACAGCGUAAUUUCUUUGGAGAGUUCAUAUUGAUAAAGAAGUUUGCGACCUCGAUGUUGGAUCGGGAUUUCCUGGAGAUGCA